AUGGCCUCACCCUCGGACGCCAACUCUGCCACCAGUGGAGGCGCAUCGGCGGCCGCAACCCCCAUCCUGGAAGAUUUCUUCGAUCAGUUAGAUCUGAACGAUGAGGAGUUCAAUGAUGUUGAGAUUGAUGAGGAGGAUCCAGAAAUCAGGGAGAGCGUUAGGUGGCUAGCCCUAGCUAGGGUUCACACCGACAAGAAUUUCUCCCAGGCAGCCUUCUACAAGGAUAUGAGGGCGGCCUGGAAUCCGGCGCAAAGGGUCAGAUUUCGCCCGGUCGGACCCAACAGAUUUGUUGUCCAAGCUUCCUGCCUGGGCGACUGGGAGCGGAUGAUGAUGCAGGGCCCUUGGCUCUUCCGCAACAUGGCGGUCUUGUUGUGUUCGUAUGAUGGUUUCACCAAGGCAGAUGAUGUGAUUUUCGAUCAUAUGCCCAUCUGGCUACAAGUCCACAAACUACCUGAUCCCUACUGCAAACAAGGUAUUGUUGAGCGAAUCCUUAAAGGGGCUGGAGAAAUCCUAGAGAUGCGUUUGAACGGCAACACCCGUGGAGACUAUAUUAGGGUUAGGGUAAACCAUGAUAUCAAGCAGCCUCUGACAAAGUUUGUUAGCGUUGUCCGUGCGCAGGAGAGACAGGUUUAUUUGGUGCGGUAUGAGAAGUUGGCCCGUUUUUGCAGUUUCUGUGGUCGGAUUGGACAUGAGCACAAGGAG
rnacentral:rRNA from 1 species